UACGUAGGGGGCAAGCGUUGUCCGGAAUCAUUGGGCGUAAAGCGCGCGUAGGCGGCCCGAUAAGUCCGUUGUGAAAGUCAAAGGCUCAACCUUUGAAUGCCGAUGGAUACUGUCGGGCUAGAGUCCGGAAGAGGCGAGUGGAAUUCCUGGUGUAGCGGUGGAAUGCGCAGAUAUCAGGAGGAACACCAGAGGCGAAGGCGGCUACCUGGACAAUUGCUGACGCUCAGGCACGAAAGCGUGGGGAGCAAAAGGG
rnacentral:rRNA from 1 species